rnacentral:rRNA from 1 species
AGGAUUAACGCUGGCGGCGUGCCUAACACAUGCAAGUCGAACGAGGUAGCAAUACCUAGUGGCAGACGGGUGAGUAACGCGUGGUCAACCUACCGUUGAGUGGGGGAUAACUAGCCGAAAGGUUAGCUAAUACCGCAUACGUCUCCGAGGGGCAUCCCUUGGCGAUAAAAGGAGCAAUCCGCUCGAUGACGGGACCGCGUCCCAUUAGCUAGAUGGUGGGGUAACGCCUACCAUGGCACCGAUGGGUAGCUGGUUUGAGAGAGCGACCAGCCACACUGGGACUGAGAAACGGCCCAGACUCCUACGGGAGGCAGCAGUGAGGAAUUUUCCGCAAUGGGCGCAAGCCUGACGGAGCGACGCCGCGUGUGGGAAGAAGGCCUUCGGGUCGUAAACCACUGUCGAAGGGGACGAGUAAUGACGGUACCCUUGGAGGAAGCCCCGGCUAACUACGUGCCAGCAGCCGC